CUAAACUUAUAUGUAAAUACAUAUACUAUGCAUAUAAUAAAGAGAAAAUUAGCAUAGACCCUGGACAAAGGUGACACGCAAAUUCGCGAAGCGUUCCAUAUUUUU